GGAGGGGUCGCAUAGUGGACUAGUGCGCCGCACUCGAAAUGCGGUGAGGCGGCAACGCUUCCGAGAGUUCGAAUCUCUCCCCCUCCGCCA
rnacentral:tRNA from 1 species